rnacentral:pre_miRNA from 15 species
CCUUGGUAUUCAUAGUAUCUGAGGACCUUUCACAUUCUGUAGAUCCAAUAUUUCAAGUACAUAUUAAAUAUUGUAUCUCAGAAUGAAAAUGGUCUUUAGAAAUGUCAUCAUUCCCUAUG